AACUUGAGCUGAGAGGUGGAGGUGUGUGGCCAGCCAUGGUCAUGGAGGAGGCAGAAGCAGCGGCGCCGGCGGCGUUUGGUGGGUUCCCGGCGGAGGUACGGCCGGGGGCGACGCGGGUGGGGUGGGUCGGCAUCGGCGUCAUGGGCGGCGCCAUGGCGGCGCGGCUCCUGGCCGCCGGGUACGCCGUGACGGCCUACGCGCGCGCGCCGGCCAAGGCGGCGCCGCUGGUCGCCGCCGGCGCGCGCCUCGCGGAUUCCCCCGCCUCCGCGGCCGCGGCCUCCGACGUGGUCUUCACCAUGGUCGGCAACCCGGGCGACGUGCGCGCCGUCGUCCUAGACGCGGCCACGGGCGCGCUCGCGGGGCUCCGCCGGGGCGGCGUCCUGGUGGACUGCACGAGCUCCUCCCCGGCCCUCGCGCGCGAGGUCGCCGCCGCCGCGCGAGCCGCCGGCUCCCACGCCGUCGACGCCCCCGUCUCCGGCGGCGACGUUGGCGCCCGCGACGGGACCCUCGCCGUCCUCGCCGGCGGCGACGAGGCCGUGGUAACCUGGCUGGCUCCCCUCUUCGCGCACCUCGGGAAGCUUAACUACAUGGGCCCACCCGGCAGCGGGCAGAGCAGCAAGAUCGCGAACCAGAUAACCGUAGCCGGGGCUGUAGUCGGCCUCGGCGAGUCCCUGGCCUUCGCGGGCGCCGCCGGGCUAGACACGCGGCUGUUCCUCGGCGCGGUGGCCAAGGGCGCGGCGGGGUCGCGCGUCAUGGACCUCUUCGGCGAGCGCGCGCUGAGCCGCGACUUCGCGACCGGGGGCUCCGUGCGGUACAUCAUCAAGGACCUCGGCAUGGCGCUCGAGGUCGGGGACGGCCAGGAGGAGGAGGUUGGGGCCAAUGUGCUGCCCGGGGCGGCGCUGUUCCGGCAGAUGUUCUCGGCGAUGGCGGCGAACGGCGACGGGGAUCUUUGCUUGCAGGGGUUGAUCACCGUCGUCGAGCGCCUGAACGGCAUUCGCAAUUCUCUGUGCCAAUCUCCUUAUCUCUUUCAGUCCCAGAAACCUUCAGCAUCACAGCAAGAAUGGCAGCACCAGGCUCACUAGGACUUCUCCAGGUGCAGUCCUUCACCACCGCCAAGGGCCGGCCGGUCUUGGCGAGCCGGCGAGCGCCAGGAGUCGUGUUUGCUGUUCGAGCUUCGGCAGCUUCCGCUGCUACAAAGGACGCUGUCCUCAGGCCCUUCCGGGAGAACAGGGCUCUCAAGAUCAUUUCAGGGCUUCAGAAUUUCGACAGGAGCAGUGUUGCGUCUGUUGUCACGGCAGCAGAUAAGGGAGGUGCCACCCAUGUUGAUAUAGCAUGUGACCAGGACUUAGUAAAGCUCGCUAUGGAGCUUACUAACCUUCCGAUUUGUGUCUCUUCUGUAGAUCCUUCAGCAUUCCAUUCUGCAGUAGAAGCUGGUGCAAAGAUGAUUGAGAUUGGAAAUUAUGAUUCUUUUUACGACAUGGGCAUCGAGUUCUCUUCUGAACAGAUACUGAAGCUGACCAGGGAGACGAGGAAGAUGCUUCCAGACAUCACAUUAUCAGUAACAGUUCCUCACACACUGAGCCUCCCAGAUCAGAUGAGACUUGCAGAGCUGCUCGAGGAGGAAGGUGCUGAUAUCAUCCAGACCGAAGGUGGGAAGUGUUCUAGUCCGACAAAACCCGGAGUGCUUGGACUAAUCGAAAAGGCAACACCAACAUUGGCCGCCGCAUACUCCAUCUCUCGGGCCGUCAGCAUACCAGUGAUGUGCGCAUCGGGGCUAAGUUCAGUGACCGCACCAAUGGCAGUAACCGCAGGAGCUGCCGGCGUGGGAGUUGGUUCUGCUGUUAACAAGCUCAACGAUGCCGUGGCGAUGAUCGCCGAGGUGAGGAGCAUUGCGGAGGCUUUAGGGACGGCUUCAAGAAACUUGACCGAGACCCCGAGGACAGUUCACCAUAAGUGCUAACUGUGCUAGGACGCCCAUUUUCUCUGGACAAACUCGAGGUCUCAAAUAAGAAAUCAGGAGGUGUAGCGGCAAUUCGGAAUUUCUCUUGACUGCUGCCUUUUGUGUGCAGGCAACAGGAACUGCACUAGACAAGUGUUGAUUCAGUUCGAUCAGUGUUGUCAUAUCAGAGCAUCAGUUGUAAUGUAACCUCAGAUAGAUGUUGGUUUGUAGGAUAUUGUCUGUUCAAUCAGAUACCAGAUCUUGAUCUUGCAUAUUCGUCACGUCUGGAGUCGCGAAUUAGAAAGAUGGGGGCAAGCAGAACACUGGCUGCCAUCUCAGUUUUUUCACCGGUGUUCAAUGGUGUGUUUCUUAUUAUUACAUGUAUGUAGACGCUUUUUGUGUAUAGAUAUAUUCAUAUUUGGACAAA